CGCCCCAAUUCCAAAAUCAACCAAUCAACGCGCACGUUUAGUGCGACGUCGCAACACGGUGUCCCUGCCUGUACAUCCAGUUUCAGAGUUGAUCUGCGAGAUUGAUGUACAAAACAUAUAGCGAGUCUUGACAUUUUUAAAGAAGUGCAGGGACAGAUGUCAGCGAUUGAACCGCCCCCCCUCCCUCUGCCCCGCCUCUUCCCCUCCCUAUCAAAGGCCUGGGAGUGCCGGAGUACACAUCAAUCAUCCUGAGUGACAGAUGGUAUUACAUGGACUGUGCCUUCUAAAGUCGACUGCAAGAUGUUAUUCAGAUCUGACUACAUCCCAGGUAGGAAUCAGAGGCACAACCCAGCGGCCAACCACUUCCGCCAAAGACUCGCACACCCAUGUCCUGUCUCUUCAGCUGGAGCUUCACACAACAAGCGGAGAAUACGAAGAGUGUGUUUGUGCCAAUCUGAAUAACUGGAAAAAAAAAGUUGCUUUCUAUUUAUUCCGAAUCAUUGUGCAGUUGAACGAACAGUGAAAAGACGCACAAAACCACAUUAAAUGGCGGCGCAGAUUGCUUCCGUGGCUGCAUAUAGUGCUCCGUCUUUGUGUUUUGUGCAUUUGUGUGGGUGUCGCCCUGUUCUAACCGUACAUGAACUUGAUGACUGUUUGCUUUGGAAAUUAAAUGCUAUUUCUCACAGCA